ACGUCUUUUUCGAGCGUUAAUCGGAAUUACUGGGCGUAAAGCGUGCGCAGGCGGUUUCGUAAGACAGAUGUGAAAUCCCCGGGCUUAACCUGGGAACUGCGUUUGUGACUGUAGGGCUUGAGUGCGGCAGAGGGGGGUGGAAUUCCACGUGUAGCAGUGAAAUGCGUAGAGAUGUGGAGGAACACCGAUGGCGAAGGCAGCCCCCUGGGUCGACACUGACGCCCAUGCACGAAAGCGUGGGGAGCAAACAG
rnacentral:rRNA from 1 species